UUGAUACUUUCAGCGCGCUUUUGCGGGUUUUCAACUGAGCGAUCGACACCUUUCUGUGAUAUUUUUUGGAGAGGGAUGGAAGAGUAUGAUAAGUUUACCACCAUUUCUAACUCUUUGGAUACUUGUGGAGUUUGCUGGCUCUUCGGAUGAGGAUAUUUUAAUGAUCAAAGUGCGAACAAAUCGCGAAAAAAGGUCGAAAACUUGAAGUUUGAGAUUUGAUUUGCUGACGAUCAAGAUGUGUACAUGAGACUACAAACCUUGAAGGUGGCCCCCAAGCUUCAAAUCACUUCAAAUAACAUCUUCUCUUCUUUCUCUUUGUUGUCCCAUUGGACACAAGGCUUAAAAAAAUGUUCCAGCUUCAGGAUUGAGUUGCUCUUUCUACAACCUUCAGCGAAUUCGUUUUUGGGAGGUUGAGGUGGAUUUUCCAAGUCAUGGCUCACAACUGUCUUUGGCUAUUUUGCUCUCCAAGUCUGUUGUACUUGGGAGAUGUGAAGUGACCCCACUACAUAUGGUCGGUACUAUUGACAGAAAGGAUAGGUGUGACAUUUGCUGUGGCAAGCUGGCAUUCAAGAGAAUGUCAUUAGUACCAGAAGCUUACUACUGCUAUAAAUUAUCAAUCUUUUGUUCUCUCCACACAACUUGCCUCAACUAGCUUAUGCUAUAUGCAACUUGUGUCUAUACCUUUUUUGCAACUAUAAAAUUACCAAUAAAGUUUUUUGAAAGUUUUGUCCAAAUUUCAUGGGAAAAGAAUAUGAGGAGUGAUCAGGUGAAAUAUUGUCCUGUUCCUUAAGAGUGUUUGAGCUUCC